GACGAACGCUGGCGGCGUGCCUAAUACAUGCCAGUUGAGCGCUGAAGGUUGGUACUUGUACCAACUGGGUGAGCAGCGAACGGGUGAGUAACGCGUGGGGAAUCUGCCUUUGAGCGGGGGACAACAUCGGGAAACGAAUGCUAAUACCGCAUAAAAACUUUAAACACAAGGUUCAAGUUUGAAAGAUGCAAUUGCAUCACUCAAAGAUGAUCUCGCGUUGUAUUAGCUAGUUGGUGAGGUAAAGGCUCACCAAGGCGAUGAUACAUAGCCGACCUGAGAGGGUGAACGGCCACAUUGGGACUGAGACACGGGCCAAACUCCUACGGGAGGCAGCAGUAGGGAAUCUUCCGCAAUGGACGAAAGUCUGACCGGGCAACGCCGCGUGAGUGAAGAAGGUUCUCGGAUCGUAAAACUCUGUUGGUAGAGAAGAACGUUGGUGAGAGUGGAAAGCUCAUCAAGUGACGGUACCUAACCAGAAAGCGACGGCUAACUACGUG
rnacentral:rRNA from 1 species